GAGGAAUGGCGGCGGCUGCCGCAGGACCUGCAGCAUCCCAGAGGUUUUUCCAGAGCUUCUCAGAUGCUCUAAUCGACCAGGACCCCCAGGCGGCGUUAGAGGAGCUGACUAAGGCUUUGGAACAGAAACCAGAUGAUACACAAUAUUAUUGUCAAAGAGCUUAUUGUCACAUUCUUCUUGGGAAUUACUGUGGUAGUUUUUCUUAUAAAGUAUAUUGUCCCUUUUUAAUAAGUUACUUAUACAUUUUACCCAUGGCCAAUUAAUCAAAUAAAAUAAAGGUUGUCUUUGAGG
ensembl:lncRNA SUGT1P3 SUGT1 pseudogene 3